CGUGAGCAACCUGCCCUGGACUCUGGGAUAAGCGCUGGAAACGGCGUCUAAUACUGGAUAUGAGCCCCUAUCGCAUGGUGGGGGUUGGAAAGAUUUUUUGGUCUGGGAUGGGCUCGCGGCCUAUCAGCUUGUUGGUGAGGUAAUGGCUCACCAAGGCGUCGACGGGUAGCCGGCCUGAGAGGGUGACCGGCCACACUGGGACUGAGACACGGCCCAGACUCCUACGGGAGGCAGCAGUGGGGAAUAUUGCACAAUGGGCGAAAGCCUGAUGCAGCAACGCCGCGUGAGGGAUGACGGCCUUCGGGUUGUAAACCUCUUUUAGCAGGGAAGAAGCGAAAGUGACGGUACCUGCAGAAAAAGCGCCGGCUAACUACGUGCCAGCAGCCGCGGUAAUACGUAGGGCSCAAGCGUUAUCCGGAAUUAUUGGGCGUAAAGAGCUCGUAGGCGGUUUGUCGCGUCUGCUGUGAAAUCCCGAGGCUCAACC
rnacentral:rRNA from 1 species